CAUGAUUCUACCCUUCUAGAGGUCUCCGGCAUCCGAGAUUCCACCGGACAGUAGGAAUUCCGAUACCGGAGUCUAGCCGGGUAUUACAUUCUCCCCCCCUUAAGAACAUUCGUCCCCGAAUGUUCCUCAACUAGUACAUACAUAGCAAACAACAUAGCAUACAUACAUGAAAUACAUAGAGACUAACCUUAAAAGAGAUGAGGAUAUUGCCGGAG
rnacentral:lncRNA from 1 species